rnacentral:rRNA from 1 species
AUUGAACGCUGGCGGCAUGCCUAACACAUGCAAGUCGAGCGGAGCGGCGGACGGGGGAGUAAUGCCUAGGAAUUCACCUGUUAGUGGGGGAUACCGUCCGGGAACGGGAGCUAAAACCGAAUACUAUAAAGUGGACCUCGGUCGUAUUAGCUAGUUGGUGGGGUAAAGGCCUACCAAGGCGACGAUCCGAAGCUGGUCUGAGACGAUGAUCAGUCACACUGGAACUGAGACACGGCCCAGACGCCUACGGGAGGCAGCAGUGGGGAAUAUUGGACAAUGGGCGAAAGCCUGAUCCAGCCAUGCCGCGUGUGUGAAGAAGGUCUUCGGAUUGUAAAGCACUUUAUGUUGGUAGGCGUUACCUACCGAAUAAGCACCGGCUAACUUCGUGCCAGCAGCCGCGGUAAUUC